rnacentral:rRNA from 1 species
AAUCAAGUGCCUUAAGGGUGUUCGGUGGAUGCCUUGGCGCUGAGAGGCGAUGAAGGACGUGUUACGCUGCGAUAAGCCGUGGGGAGCUGCGAAGAAGCUUUGAUCCAUGGAUUUCCGAAUGGGGAAACCCACCUUCGAUAGCCGGAACUCCAAGACCUUUGUCGAAAGACAUUGGUGUGGGGUUCGAACAGAAAUGUGAGAUGCCUAAGCCUUUAGAUUUCGAUCGAAGAGGUUUUGGAUUUCCGGUUAUCAAGAGAAGGUAUGAGACUUCUGAAUACAUAGGAGGUUUCAAGCAAACCCAGGGAACUGAAACAUCUAAGUACCUGGAGGAAAGGACAUCAACAGAGACUCCGUUAGUAGUGGCGAGCGAACGCGGACCAGGCC